rnacentral:rRNA from 1 species
UACGGGGGGAGCAAGCGUUGUUCGGAUUUACUGGGCGUAAAGGGCGCGUAGGCGGCCACCGCAAGUCGACUGUGAAAUCUCCGGGCUUAACCCGGAAAGGUCAGCCGAUACUGCGGGGCUAGAGUGCAGAAGGGGCAACUGGAAUUCUCGGUGUAGCGGUGAAAUGCGUAGAUAUCGAGAGGAACACCUGCGGCGAAGGCGGGUUGCUGGGCUGACACUGACGCUGAUGCGCGAAAAGCUAGGGGGAGCGAACGGG